rnacentral:lncRNA from 1 species
CUUUGAGAUGGCCUCCUCAGGGUGCGCUGGGGAGGUCUCUUUGCCAUGUUCAGAACUCGCCCUGGCCUGGACUCCCCUGGAGCUCCCUUGAGCUUCUCUGAACCCCUAGGUGACAGGGGAAGAAACCCUCAGAUGGGUGAUCACGGCCCUUCCCGCCCCCUGGUCCCAGGCAUUGAUGGGGCUGUGGCAUUUGCUUUUCCUUCCUCCAGGGGUCCUGGCUCCACUCAGCUUCCCACUCCUCCUGCCCCCUCCAGAGCAGCUGCGUCCCUGCGAUCAAUAUGGAGCUGAUCAAUCUAUCUGUCCCUCUGCUUGGCUGAGGAAGCCAGCAAUGAUGGCCACCUUGGGACCCCAUGAGUGCUCCUGAGACUGUGGCAUGUAUCACCUCCUCACUGCACAGGGCUCCUGCCUGUGUGGAGAGAUGAUGGCUCCCCACCACUGCCACCUCCCCCACACCCCUGCCCACCCACGUCUCCCGCUCCCCGGGCUCACAGUCUGGGUAGAGGCUGUUUCAAACAGAAGACCAAGCAUCUGCGGGAAUCCAGACCAGACCCUAAGCCAGCUCCAGAGGGCUUCCUGGGGGAGAAGAGUUUUGACAAGAGUAUCCAAGGCAGAAGAAACAGCCUGGGCAAAAGCCUGGAGGUGGGGAAAUUGAGACCUCCUGGAGGCUGAGGAAGGCUGGAGGGAGGGAGGAGAACAAAGGGCCUUAACCAGCCAUCAGGUGAGGGCAGCUAGGCCUUCCCCAGGGCCACAUUAUGACUUUCAAGCACCCAGGGCACUUUGG